rnacentral:rRNA from 1 species
GUAGGGUCCGAGCGUUGUCCGGAGUUACUGGGCGUAAAGCGCGCGCAGGCGGCGGUGUAAGCAUGGCGUGAAAGCCCCAGGCUCAACCUGGGAGGGUCGUCGUGGACUGCACCGCUUGAGGGCGGUAGGGGCUGGUGGAAUGCCUGGUGUAGUGGUGAAAUGCGUAGAGAUCAGGCGGAACACCCGUGGCGAAGGCGGCCAGCUGGGCCGUCCCUGACGCUGAGGCGCGAAGGCGUGGGGAGCGAACGGGAUUAGAUACCCCGGUAGUCCACGCAGUAAACGAUGCAGACUAGGCGUGGGGGGAGUUGACCCCCUCCGUGCCGGAGCCAACGCGGGAAGUCUGCCGCCUGGGGAGUACGGCCGCAAGGCUAAA